rnacentral:lncRNA from 1 species
CCAAUGGUAUAUGAGCGGCCUGUGGGGUUAUGAAUAGCAGAACAGACUGGUGCUGUCACAGCCCACUCAUACCACACCUUCUUGGAAUUGCUGCAUCGCCAGAAACGCACACAGAUGGUUUGGCCUUCACGUACCGUUAUGGGCUGCUGUAAGAAGAAAGACAGGAAGGUUCAGGGUGAAGCUAUGAAUUAUACAUGGCAAUGUAUUAAGGCUCGGACCUCAUUGUACAGCUUGGAGGAAGAGAUGGGAGCCAGAAAGGAAGUGUACUCCCCGGGGAUGCUCACACCAUCAUCUGCACAGCAGGAGAGUCAAAUUAGUUCCAGAGGGAGGGAAAUGCAUACAGCUUUAUCCGCCGGUCGGCCUGCUUGGCUGCCCGCAGGGAAGCGUUCACCAGGGGUCCCCGUCCUGCUCCCAGCACCAUCAGUACCCUAAGAAAGAAAGGGAAGAGUCAAGCAGACUUGGCAUAUACAGAUAUAGGAGGUAAGAGAAGCCACACCCAUCCCAGGAUUCUCAUGGACUCACCCACUGCAAUCCUCUUACUAUAGUCACACAAAGUCCGGAAGUUGUGCCACCUGUUCAGUCAAAUACAGAAAAGUACAGUAAACUAGAUAUGGCCGACCAAUCACCACAGCUCAAGGAGACCUCCCUACAGGUUGCACCCUGUACUUCCCCUCACCCUAUCCCUUGCACCCUGGUACAGCAGCAAAGGGAGACAUACCACAUCCACGUUUUCUCCUCCCCACUGUACUCCUCUGUGUGUGUAGUUGGUGCAUUCUCAAUUAUAUCAUCUCUCAGGUCCUCUGGUGCCACCAAGGGUACCCGCAUCCAGAACUGCACAUGAACAGUC